AUGUCUGUAAGAGCUGUUGCAGUACACCUAUAUCCACAUCGAUGUAAACAAAAAACUUGGACAUAUAUGGUACUAUUUUCUACCAUGGACAAAACAAAUUUUCCUAGAAAGAGUUUUUGUACAUUAUACUUAUAUCUAUGCUGGAUGUUAAUAAUCUGUUUUGUGUUAGUCAAAUUGUUUAAAGCCGGAGCUGGGUCAAGGAGCUGGCCUCCGCCUUCGCCAUUGCCUGAGAGAAGCAACGCCGGUGUUCGGCGUUUCGUGUGCAGAGCCACCCCUAAUGCUCAGGCUGAUGCUUCUUCGCUUGAUGCUGAAGAAAAGGAUGAACAGAUUCAGACGCCCAAAUAUCAAAAGAGAGUUGGGCCAGGGAAGAAAUCAAAGCAGUGA
rnacentral:rRNA from 1 species